GAGUAUCCGGCGGGGCCCUUUGUGCAGCUGCGGGUCAGGAUCCAGCAGACCCAGUGCCCGAACCAGCCGGGGAGCAGACAGGACUGCGCCCUCAAACGCAGAGGGAGGAAGCAGAUCUGCCUGGCUUGUGUCAAGUUUGACUCCCGCAGCGGGGGAAAGGUGCUGGGUAGCUACACGCAUUGCAGGAUGGAGAAGCAGCAGUCUGAGAAGGUGAGCGCGCCCGCGGGCGGGGAUCGGGCGCAGAGCCGCUCUCCUGGGAGCAGAUGCUGGGAAAAUCCAACACGUCGGCAAGGGGCCUGAGAGCAGUGCUGGGUGGGGCCACUCCCAGGUGCAGCAUGGGUCUGCGCACAGAGGAUGGACGGACACCUGUGCUCCUGGUAGAUGCCAGGACACGCACAUGCCCACGACAUGCACACAGACAGGCACACGCAUGCAGCACGUGAGCACCGAGGCUCAGCGGUUCCAUGCUCUGUGCAGACUGAUGGUGCCAACAGCGAUGGGCCCAGCCCAUGCCCCCGGGGCGCUGCUUGGGGCUGGAUCCGCACCAGCUCCCUGGCUGGAGCUGUGACCUGGCACCUCUGCCCCUGCAGGAGAUGGAGACGAGACACGAGGAGGAGUGCAGCACUGUGCAGGAGACGGGCGAAGCGCCCUACCAUCCCGGUGUCUUUGCCUUCUCCAGAGGGCUGCCGUCAUAGCCAGGGCGCCUCCCCCACAUCCACAGCAUGCCAGCCUGGGCAUCUCUGGCGCCCCCCACCCGCGGAAGGAUGCUGCGAUUGCCACUGCCCAGCGGAGACCCGGCGACCACCCCUGCCCAUCAGACACUGCGCCCGCUCCAGCACCAGGCCGGGCAGAACGACCUGGCCAACGGAUCCUGCUACCCCUUCCCCGCACCCCCGCUUCACUCAGCUCCAUCGCCCGGCUGUUCAUCCCCAAUAAAGCCAGAGCCCCAGUUCGGAAGGGCUGUGCUGUUAUUCAGACGGGCUGCCCUGCCGGCGGAUGCUAAGUCGGGCCAGCCGGCCCCCCAGGGUAUUUCUCGGGUCAUGGGAAUAUGCUGGGCCUGCUCCCGCCAACCCGGAUUGCCCCCAUGGGUCGUCUGCUCCAGCGCAUCGUCUCCUGCCUGCCGUGGCAGGGCAGCCCAGGAGUCUGUCACCCGCUCUCCCACCCCGCUGGGUCCCCGGGCUCUCCCUGCCUCGCUCGGGGGUGGAGCAUUUAGCUGGGUGUGGUGCCCCCGGGGUGUGGAAAUCACCCCCGGAAGCACCCUCGCGAGUUUCACAGUCCAGCCGCCAGGAAGCAGGAGGGUGCUGGGGCGAAGGACCAGGCCAGGCAGGCAGGGAGGGACCUGGGGGACAGAGCUGGGGCGAGGGGUGCAGCCCCCAGAACAACUCACCAGGGCAGGGCCUAAGAACCCCAAGCUUAUCAGGCCCCCCUUGUGGCAGGGAGGCCCCACAGUCCAGCUCGUCGGAGGACAGUCCCAGGGCCCUGCGGCACAGCUGGGGUGCCCCCGGCUCUACCGACCGGGCACAGAGAGGCAGGGGCCAGGGAGCAGACAAC
ensembl:lncRNA